CUUUUUCAGUUUGUUGUAAAUCAACAAAUUGUGCUGAAACAGCAAUGACUUUUAUCAAAACAAAUAAAAAUAUUGUUGGAUUUGCUGGCAGCAUUUUCAAUUUGAUUUUUGUUGAAACAACAAAAUAAUAUUUUUAUUUCAAAUCAUAGAGUUAUUUGUUUCAGUUACUUUUAUUGUUAUUUGAAACGAAAAUUUAACUCAGUGUGUAAGGCAGUGUGUGGCCCACCAUUUUAUUUCGCGCUGUAAACGGAGUGUAAGAAAAAAUGGCUGACGCGGAAGAGUUCGUCGAAGAACUCGAUGUGGAAACACAGUUUUAGAAUUACUGAAGCUAUUAUUGAAGCCCUUCUUGUUAAUUCUUACACGAUUGAAAUGCUAAAAGUGAUUCAGCGGCAAGAAAUCGAGCUGCUGAUUCUACCCCCGUCGCUUGCGGAGUGGACCAAAUUCAUUCAUCCAUUGCAUAUUUGGAGAACAGCGCAGGGGCUACCAAAAGUCCAAAAAGUUCCAGCAAGUCUCAGCAGCUCUGCUUUGGUGCAAAAUACCAUUGUAAAGCCUUCUGAACCAAGGAUCACGUGGGAUUCAUGCACGGCCACCUAUUUGCUGAAAAACUCGUCGGUGGCACAAGCCAUCAUACGAAAAUACAGUCAAACACCGUUUCUCUCAAGAUCCGAUUAAAAAGUAUCACCCACUGAGUUUAAAAAUAUACGGUGUUAGAAGUUAUGAUCGUUUUUCUUUAUUUCAAAAUAAGAGCAAAAUAAAAUUUAGCGGGGCUGUGGGGGAGCAGAUCUGGGAUCAAUAGAAUCUUUAUUUAUUUCUAAUAAAAACAUUUUCAAAUUAAAAACCAAGUGUGAUUUAUUUUAAAAAUGUUAUGUUUUAUUUUAAAGCAAAAAUAUUGUUAUUUCGAAAGAAAAAAAUAUUUAAUCAAAAAUUAAUUUUGUUGAACCGCAUUGGACCCAGCUGUCAAAUCCAACAAUUAAUAUUUUUAAACUGAACUGCUUGUUGUUA